rnacentral:rRNA from 1 species
AUUGAACGCUGGCGGCAGGCCUAACACAUGCAAGUCGAGCGGAUGAAGGGAGCUUGCUCCUGGAUUCAGCGGCGGACGGGUGAGUAAUGCCUAGGAAUCUGCCUGGUAGUGGGGGAUAACGUCCGGAAACGGGCGCUAAUACCGCAUACGUCCUGAGGGAGAAAGUGGGGGAUCUUCGGACCUCACGCUAUCAGAUGAGCCUAGGUCGGAUUAGCUAGUUGGUGGGGUAAAGGCCUACCAAGGCGACGAUCCGUAACUGGUCUGAGAGGAUGAUCAGUCACACUGGAACUGAGACACGGUCCAAACUCCUACGGGAGGCACCAGUGGGGAAUAUUGGACAAUGGGCGAAAGCCUGAUCCAGCCAUGCCGCGUGUGUGAAGAAGGUCUUCGGAUUGUAAAGCACUUUAAGUUGGGAGGAAGGGCAGUAAGUUAAUACCUUGCUGUUUUGACGUUACCAACAGAAUAAGCACCGGCUAACUUCGUG